AGCUACAAAAUGAGAUCGACAUGGGAUUCCCUUUGACUUGCCCCAGUUGGGACUGCAACAUGGCUAAAGCAGGUGGUUUUCUUGCCUGAUGGAUGAUGACCAACGCUCCUGUGACACAUCAGAACUUUUCGUUGACUGAACGAGUGACCUUUGCUUCAUUCCACCUGCUGUCCCACUGUGUGAGACUGCACAUAGUCAUCACUUCGCUGACAUUCUGGCAGAAGAGCUGGUACACUGAUGGCAGUAGCCUCAUGGUUAAAGGUUGAUUCUACGUGGUGCUUUUCAUACUACAAUUCUGAAAAUCCUCCGAAGACCCAUGGGCAAAGGGUUAAUUCCUAGACUGUGGCACUCCACUAAGUUGGUGGAAUCUUCAGGUGGAGAAAACUAGAAAAAGAAAGCUUGGCUGCUGCUGUGCAAUCUAAAUGGAAAUAUCAGAAUUGUUCUGUACUAUCUCUUCCUUUGCUUCUAGAUCACCAUGAGAAAAGCAGUUGCCUCACUAGUACUACCAUUGCAGUAACCACAUCAACACAGACAUGCUAUGUGGUUACAGGGACUAGAAUCUGGGUCAUUUAGAAGAGGAGCCAUUACUUUUAACUGCUGGUUCAUCAUUCCAGUCCCUUCAUAUAUUGUCCUGUAAUUCAAUCUGAAAGCAUCUCA
rnacentral:lncRNA from 1 species